rnacentral:rRNA from 1 species
UACGGAGGGUGCGAGCGUUGUCCGGAAUCAUUGGGCGUAAAGGGCGCGUAGGUGGCCCGGUCAGUUCGUGGUGAAAGCGCGGGGCUCAACCCUGCGUCGGCCAUGAAUACUGCCGCGGCUGGAGCACUGUAGAGGCAGGCGGAAUUCCGGGUGGAGCGGUGAAAUGCGUAGAGAUCCGGAGGAACACCGACGGCGUAGGCAGCGCCCUGGACGACACCUGACGCUGAGGCACGAAAGCUGGGGGAGCGAACAGG